ensembl:lncRNA
AUUGACAGUCCGGUCUGGAAUGAUUGACAGGUCCUAUGGAGGAGGCAGCAGAGACUCUGCUCUCUUCGUUUGGAUUAAUUCUGAUAUAAUAACUGUUGGUUUAUUUAUCGGUGGAGCAGCACAGCAUUUUCCACAGACAGUUUUCCUGCCCGUUGGCUUGUUUUAACCAGUUUUCUACCUUCCGCUGAUUCUACCAGCAGACACUGAAAGGACUUUGAUAGUUCGAGUGAAGGUAGCAGUUCCUCCUUAAGGUCAGAGAUUGCAGCAUCUGAGGACCUCUUCAAAAGAAGACGUAGUUGAUGAAGGCGUUCUGGAGCAGGACCAGAAAGACCACAACCAAGCAGCCUUGAGAUCUUAGGCAGCGUCUCCCUCAGCUUCAGCUCCAGAGACGGCAGGCGGGACGAGUCAACGGAGGCCUGGUGGACGAAGGCAUGUAGCUGAGUACAAUCCAGAAAACAACAGAGGAGGAGUGCAGUGGCCCAGAGCCAGAACAAACAGAGUAGCAUGACCAAAGAACUACAGACUCUUCACA